UUUGAGAAUGGCACACCGUUGUGUUUCUUCUAAUGAGAAGUUUUAUUUUUUAUUUAAGAGGCUGUAACUUAGCACCUACCAAAACACCUGUGGUAAAGCACCAGCUUCUUUUACUUUAACUUUACAGCUAAAUGAUGUCUUAGUCUAUACCAGGCCCACUGAUCAGGCACUUGGAGGCUGUGGCAGGGUCUAGCUGCCAUAAAAGUACCCAAAAUGAUUACUCCCAUGAUCUGGACUUACCAUGUCACAAACUGGUAGCAAGCAGUCUGAAGACCGCACUUUGAAGAGUGUUCUUCAAACGGAUUAAAAGCAAAUUGUCAGGGGUUAUCUCAGUAUCUGUGAUAACUGUGUGUUAUUUCCGUAAAGAAAGAAUUAAUGACCAUGUACUGGAUCAAAUGGCAUUCUACUGCAGAACUGAGCACUGCCAUUCAAUUAUUACAUCAGUGCCUAUAUUGUGUUCACCAUCUCAGGAACCUUCAUGUGUGCAGGCUAGCAGGAAAAGCAGAGAGGAUCUCCCAGGAAAAUACUCUAUUUGUGCUACAUCCUCCAAAAGAGGAGUGAAGACAGUGUCACUGCUCUGUCAAUAUCAGGAAAGAUAAAGGAGCUGGGGCAUGAAGAGGUAUAUGACUUGGCCAAAGGCAAAAAAACCUAGGCAGCCUGAACUGAGCCCAGCGGGACUCUCCAUCACCUGUAGUAGCUGAGAACAUCGCGGUCCUCCUUCUGCCCUUCUUUGGCAUCUUGGGCCAGUUCCCGG